AUUUCAUUUCUUCCACCCAAAAUCCCAAUUUUUCCACCCAAAAUUCUCUUCCGCCCUCGCGAAUUCCCAUUUUAUUCUGAUUUUCCCCCCAAAUUUUCUCCCAUUUUUCCCCCAAAUUUCCAUCCAACCCAUUUUUUUCUUCACCAAAAAUCCCAUUUUAAGCCAUUUUUCCCAAUUUUUGCUCUAUUUUCCCAAAUUCCCCCCUCCCCACUAUUCCCAUUUUUCCCAAAUUUUUUCCAAUUUUUUCUCUCUAAAUUUUCCCAAUUUCCCUCAAUUUUUUCCCUCCAAAUUUCCCAAUUUCCCCCAAUUUUUCCCUUCAAAUUUUCCCAUUUUCCCUCAAUUUUUUCCAAUUUUUUCUCUCAAUUUUUUCCAAUUUUUUCCCUCCAAAUUUCCCAAUUUUCCCCCAAUUUUCCCCUCCAAAUUUUCCCAUUUUCCCUCAAUUUUUUCCAUGUUUUUCUCUCCAAAUUUCCCAAUUUUCCCCCAAUUUUUCCCCAUUUUCCCAUUUUUAACCCCUUCCUACCCGGGGGCGGCUCCAGGGGCACCACGAACACCUCGGGGCUGGGGGAGGGGCGGCCCCGGGGCGCCGAAAAUUCCCCGGAAAAUUCUCCCGAAAAUUCCCCGGAAUCCUCGGCCCCGUCCGGGCUCUCCAGCUCCUGCAGGGAAAUUCGGGAAAAAGCAAAAAUUUGGGAAUUUUUUGGGAAUUUUUGGGAUUUUUUGGGGAUUUUUUUGGAUUUUUUUUAGGAUUUUUUGGGGAUUUUUUUUUAUUUUUUUGUGAUUUUUUAAAUGAUUUUUUCAAGAAAAUAAUUUGGAUUUUGGGGGAAUUUUUUGCGAAAUUUUAAAGGUUUUUAUUCUUAAUUUUUUUCAGAUUUUUUGGGGAUUUAUUUGGAUUUUUUUUAAGGAGUUUAUGGGGUGAAUUGGGAAAUUUUGGGGAUUUUUCAGGAAUUUUGGAGGUGAAUUCCUGCGGAAUCUGGGCUCUCCAAUUCCUGCAGGGAAAUUCGGGAAAAAGC
rnacentral:lncRNA from 1 species